rnacentral:rRNA from 1 species
AAAUGAAUAGACGGGGGCCCGCACAAGCAGUGGAGUAUGUGGUUUAAUUCGAAGCAACGCGAAGAACCUUACCAGGGCUUGACAUCAUACCGGAUACUGUAGAGAUACAGUAGUCCUUCGGGACGGUAUGACAGGUGGUGCAUGGUUGUCGUCAGCUCGUGUCGUGAGAUGUUGGGUUAAGUCCCGCAACGAGCGCAACCCCUGUUGUUAGUUGCCAGCAUGUAAAGAUGGGCACUCUAGCGAGACUGCCGGUGACAAAUCGGAGGAAGGUGGGGACGACGUCAAAUCAUCAUGCCCCUUAUGUCCUGGGCUACACACGUACUACAAUGGCUACUACAGCAGGCAGCGAAACCGUGAGGUGGAGCAAAUCCCUAAAAGUAGCCCCAGUUCGGAUUGUAGGCUGCAACUCGCCUACAUGAAGUCGGAAUUGCUAGUAAUGGCAGGUCAGCAUACUGCCGUGAAUACGUUCCCGGGCCUUGUACACACCGCCCGU